CACCGAGUCCGAGGCUCCGGAAGUGGCCGGAGCCUGGUGCAAGAGGGA
rnacentral:sRNA from 1 species